rnacentral:tRNA from 1 species
GGUCGGCUGGGUGAGAGGCUUAAACCAGCUGCGUGCUAAGCAGCAGCGGGCGUCACCGUCCGCCGCGAGUUCAAAUCUCGCGCCGACCGCC